AGGUGCAAUGUGAGAAGAGCUUCUGCCUACAUUAUAAGAUGGGCUUCUUCUCUAAAUGGGUGAAGGCAGCUUCUUCCUGCACCUCUACAAGUUCUUCUUGCACCUCUACACACUUAAAAAUUCCAAUUUUACAUUAUUUUCAUUUUCAGUUCCAAGUUAUACAAUCUAAAAUAAAAUAAAUAAAAAAACAAAAAAAAACAAAAAAUAAGAAGAAGUAGUAGACUUUAGAUUCUACUUUCCAGAAUACAAAGAUUAUAUUUUGAUGUGUAUGAUCCAGAAUACAUAAUUCAUAAUCAAAAUUAUACAUUCGGAAACACAAAGUAAAAAAUACAUUUUACAGUGUGAAAUCUGAAACAUCUUUUUGAGGAAGAAGGGGGAAAGAGGUGCUCCCAUGGAAGAGGAAAAAGAUAAAGAUAAAUUGGGCCUAUGUUGGGAACAGGCUUCUUCUGUAAGUUCGAGAAUAUUUCUUCCACCAUUGCCAUUAUAGAAAAUCUAAAACACUUGUAUAUUAAAUCACUUCAUAAAAAUGUAACUGAACAGAACUGUUUCAAUGCAAUUUUGUUGAUAUUAUUUUAUCCGAAAGGUUCAAUUCUCAUCACUGAGUUAGAUUCAAUUUUGGAUAGACUCAGUUUACAAUUUUGUUCACACCCCACAUACAUCAUGGCCACCUGAGAAGAGUUGCUGGUCAUUAUACACUGUCGCGAACACUUAGGCAGAGAUUAAGACAUUUGGUUGAAUCCCCUUUCUUUUUCCCUUUACUAUUAAAAUUCUAUGGAAGGAAAACUUGGGAGAUAUGUAAAGAAAUAACAGCAAACUGGCAGAAAAACUACAGUUUUGAACAAUCAGACAUACACAAAUCCCAAAAUUUUUUUAUGCACAAUAAGAUUAAGCAUCUAAUAAUAUAAUUGUAACAGAGCCUCGUAGAUGUUCAAAUGUUAACCGUCCUACAAGGGAUCAAACCAAAUUACAUUGCUUGGAUGUAAGGGUGUCCUAGAAGCAGUAAAAGACAUGAAGAGGACAUGAUGAAAUAAACAAAGUUCAGUGCUGUGAUGGACAGCUUACAUUGCAGAUGCGUAAGGGAAAAUGUUACAAUGAAACAUAAUCACUCACACUGCCAAAACAUAAUCUCAAAAUUCCAAACACUUUUUAAGCACUUUCAGAUUGGGAUUCCAUAGAUAAAUGGCAAAAUAGACAUAAAACACAUCCUAUGCCACCCGUCUUGCGGAUUUCCAUUUCCAUUCAACUGAAAAAACUCUUUCGAGUAAGAAUGCAGAGAAACACAACCAUAAGCUAAAGCUCAAUUUUGUAUUAAACUUUAAAACAGAACACUUUGUUUCCAUUAAUGAUUGAAAGAAAAAAAACUCAAAUAACAAACAAAAGGGUUCAACAAGCAUCACAAUAAUUCAAUUGAGAAGACCCCUUUUAGUAGCAUGCAUCACAGGCACAAAACAUAUUUGGUCUAACUUCAAUCAACCUAUAACCCCUUUGAGAAUUAAAAUCCAAACAUGGUGCUUAUGUACGGGUGAUACAGGCAGCUCAAACAUUUGAAGUCAGUUCUGCAAAGCGGUGCCCGAAAUUCAUUGUUGCACAUCAAUCAGGCAACUGAUGAUAUUAAGCCAUCACAGAGCCUUAGUACCAGUGCAGUGAAGAUCAUGGAAAACAGAACCACAAAAAAUCAAAAUUCGCUACCAUUGAAAUCACAUAAAAUAAACAAAAAAAAUAUUAGAAAAUCAACGAAAAAAAACUGAAAAAAAAAAUGUCCCGAUACAACAUUUGCAUACAGCAGUAGAACAGAUCGUUGAAAACAGACAUUAUCCUCAAAAAUAAGAAAAUAUCAUCAAAUCAAAUGCUGAAACUGCAUGACUUUAGUACUUUAGAAGUGAAACACCAUGAAGUAGGUCAUUUACCGCAACCAGGAGCGGCUACGGAGCAAAUAAACAAGUUCGUGUGACAUAACGUCAUGGCGUCGAGAAAGAGGGUUUCAAUUUAUAGGAGCGAGGGAAAGUAAGUUAGGGCAUCGCAUGGAACCCACCCAAGAUGCAUUUGGGUCCGAGAAAAAGAUCAACGGUUGAUAAGGUUUGAUGACGGGAAUACUUUUCAUAUGCUGAGGACACGUGCUUUUCUAAUUUUAGUGGUUAAAUCAGCGGCUCAGAUUCGACGUAGGAAAAUUGCACUAGAACAUGUUUUCUUAUUAGUUAAUCUAUCAGUUCUUAUAUGGUAUAUAAGUUAAGAAAAAUAACUUUAUACUUUUUUGUAUUAAAAUUAAUUUAUUAAUGUGGUAUUUAUUAUAAAAUUACAUGAAAUAAAAAAUAGACUAAAGUUUGUGUUUUAAAAAUAUUAAAUAAUAUAUUCAAUUCUAAUAUUAAGAUUUGCACUCUAUGAUUCAGUCACAAAUCUUAUAAAUGAUAAGUUUUGACUUUUAUAAAAAUCAUGCCAAUAAAAAAUUAUAAUUGAUAAAUAAUAUACACUUUAAAUACAUGUAUAUUAAACCCUUUAAACAGUAAUAAUAAUUUUCAAAUGAUGUUCUUAAAAACAAGUUUUAUAUUAUUACUGAUGACCUAUUCAAUUAUAUAUGCUACUGUUUUUUUAUAAAAAAAAAAAGUUUGGAAUAGCAAUCUAAAAAAGCUACUUCAAAUAUAAUUAUAUAUUUAACUUUUUUUUUACGGUUAUUACGGUAUUCUACUUAGCUUCAUCUUUCAAUUUUUAUAGUAUGAUUUUUUAAUUAUCAUUUGGACGAAAUGACAAGGCUGACAUGAUAAACAGGAUGAUGAGAUUGUCGGAACGUAUGGGCUAGAAUAUAUGGUCAGGCUGACUGGAAUGGAUGUGAUGGUCGGACUUACUGUAAUAGGCGAAUGGACAGAUUGACAAGAUAGCUAGACUAAGGGGAUAGACUGGCUACCUGUGAUGGACCAGGUUGAUGGGAUGGUCGGGAUGGAUGGGAUGGCCAGACUGGCAGGGAUGGCCAAGAUGGAUAGGUUGGCUGGGAUUUAGAAGAUUGACAAGCUGAUUGGAUGAUUGAUUUGGCCAAGCUAGCCUUGAUUGCUGAGAUAGACAUGAUGGUCGGGGAUGGCAUGAUGGCUAGACUAACGUUGAUGGGCCAGAUGCAAGGGAUGGAACAAAUAGAUUGUGCUGAAGGAAUGGUUGGGAUGGACGAGUUGACAAGAUGGUCGGGAUGGACUGGCUUGCCGCUCUGGUCGGGCAUGCUGAGAUAACGAGACGAUCGAGAUGAACUGGAUGGAUAGGCUAAUGGGAUGGUCGUGUUGGAUGGAUUGACUGAUUUAGUUGGGUUGGCCUGUAUGGGUAGACUGACUAGAUGGUCGACCUGGAACUAGCGUGAUGAUCGUGUUGACAGGCUGACAGAAUUCCCAUGAUGGAUAGACUUGCCGAUCUAGCCAGGAUGGAUAGACUUACUGAUCUGGACAGGAUGGACUAGAUGAUCAAAUUGACGGGGUGAUGGGUUGACCGAUCUAUUGGGAUGGCUGGGCUAGGCAGGUUAUUUGAGUUCACUAGGAUUGACGAAUUGGUUAGGAUGGACAGGUUGACCCGCCGGGCCUAGUGUGACACUCGGGCACUGACGAGGGCGAGGAGUGAUCGCCGGUGCAAGAGGCAUGGUGUAGGGGGCACAGACAAGGAGCGACUCCUGGCAGGCUUCCAGUGGAAGGGGUACAUGGACGAAUUGAACAUACACCGGAAUGAGAGGGAUCUAGAGACUGUAUAGGUAUGAGACUAUACAGUUGAAGGAUAGCUUAAAGGAAUUGAUUUGGCUACUCAUAUCACCAAAAAUGCAUUUGCUUUUCGGUAGCCUAACCCAUAAGAACUCCAUGGUUAAGCGUGCUUAGCCUGGAGUAAUUCUAGGAUGGAUGACCUUCCGGGAAGUUUUCCCAGAAAGUGUGCGAGUGAGGACAAAACACACUGGCGUUACACCUAGUCCUUUUUUCCAUCCUACUUAAAAAAAGAAAAGAAAAACUCAUGCCCACACACUAGUCAAGAGACUAUACAUUGUUAUAAAUUUAUUUGCUCACAUGUCAAGGUAGGAUAACAAAUAGCAAUAAAACACAAAGGAUACAUUAAUUAUUCCAAAAUAAUUUAUGUUAAGUAUCAUUAUUAUAUAUGAGCUAACUAUUUAAUUAAACACAUAAUAGUUAAAACUCAUUCCAUUUGAAGUCAACCAAAGGUUAUUCAUCUCAUGAACAAAAAAUAUACAAUAUUUUUCUGCCCCUCCUUAGGAAUCUACCUCAAUUAUAUAUAUCACAUUUAACAACUUGUUAUGUGAAAUAUAAUAUUGGUAAUUAUUGACUCACAACUUCAUGUAAAAAAUCUUUAUCAAUUCUCACCAUCAUGUACUUUUAUUUAUUAUUUUUCUAACACAAUGCAAUACUAUAACUCUGAUGUACUAUCAAAUCAUUUAAUGUAAUGUGUAUGCAGAACACCAAAGUUAGUGGCACAUUCCUAAAAUACACACACACACGUAUAUAUACUCACAAUGAUAAUCCUUUAGUUAUUUACUUACAAAUGACAUCAAAUUUAAUCUCAUACAUAUCAUUCAUACUAUAAUAUAUUUAUUAAUCACACCCAUCCAGAUUCCAUAUCAAGUUUAUAACACAAUGAGUGAUGAAAUAAUCCAUAUUCAACUAAAAAAAUUAACAAUAAUUAGUUUAAGUAAAAUAACUUAAUUAUAGAACAAUAGAUGCAUGUUGUUUGAGUUAUUUGAAAAUGGUUUGAGUGAUAAUUAUAUCGCUUAAGUGAAAACAUCAACGCUUGAGUGAUACCUUAAAAGAAGAGAGAAUUAGUGCGACAAACAAAAGUUUGAGCGUCCAACCUUUUAAUGCAUAAAGAAUAAACAUUGACUCUCCAUUACUCAAGUAUUGUACCAUUAGGUGAGUGACUUUGGUUGGUGCAUUGAGUAUCUCAAUUUUAAAUUUUUCUUACAAAAAUUGCCACUUCAUUACUAGGAUGAUUAAUUGGUGCUUAAGCAAUGUAAGUAUUCCUAGAAAAAGAGAAUUGUUUUAACAUUUUUCUUAUUCAAUCCUCAAGUAGUAACUUGAGUAAAAAGCUUUAUCACUUAAGUAACUACAAAAACACUUAAACAACAAUACUUUGUACUUGUAACAAAUAUGAUUAAUAAUUUAUAUAUGCAAAAGAAUAAAGUCAAUAUAUCUCUAUAAAAUGUUAUAUAAUCUAAUUUUAUCGGUUCUAUUAGUUCUACAAAAUUUUAUUAAUUUCACACAAUAUCUCUAAUUCAAAAUAUUGUUCUAGUGUACUAAACUCAUCUAGCAAAUCCAAUACACAGAUAUAAAAUCUAUCAUUAUCUAACCACACUAAUCUAUUAUUAUAAUUAUUGAUAUAUAAAUAAGCUCCUUUACUUUAUAAUUAUUUACUUCUCAAAAAAUAAUAGCUUCAAUUGUUCCUAAGAACAAAAAAUACACCAAAACCUCCAUAAAGCAUAAACUACACUACUUAAUUAAAGAAAAACCUUGAUAAAUUACUGUCGCAACCAGAAAAUCGCGACGGGACGACGAUCCAAAAAGAAAACGAGUUUGAAAAAGAGUUUUGGAGUCGCCACCAUAGUUUAUUCUGGAAAACUACGGAAAAACCAUAAAAUGAUAAAACACAGUCCACGAAAACCAGAGAUUAGGUUCGGGAGUCGGUUACGUGUGGGGAAGGUGUUAGCACCCCCACAACGCCUGCCCUAAGGCAGUACCUUUAACUAAAUACGCGAAUUUGAUGUGGUUUGCAAAAUGUUUAAUUUCCCCUAAAAAAUAAAACUCUAAAGAAAACAAAAUAUAUUUUUUGUUUUUUGUGCCCGACAAGGAUUGACCUUGCUCCUACGUAUUCUCAGUUGGACUGAAAAAUCAGGGUCACGUAGUUCUUUUGGAAACCAUUUGGAAAAUGAUGUCGUGUUUGGAGUUUUUUUUUUUUUGUAUGAGGAGGAAAAAGAUUUUCAACACAAGGCCGAUAGAAUGGCCGCACUUGUGUUUAAACCCUUUAAAACAAUUUAUGAUUUUUUUUUUUUAAGAGAGGAAGAAAAAGGUUUUUGGUACAAGGCAGACAGAAUGGUCGCACUUGUGCUUAAACCCUUUACAAACAAUUUAUGAUUUUCUAAAAGAAGGAAAAGGUUUUUAGCACAAGGCAGACAGAAUGGUCGCACUUGUGCUUAAACCCUUUACAAACAAUUUAUGAUUUUCUAAAAGAAGAAGGAAAAGGUUUUUAGCACAAGGCAGACAGAAUGGUCGCACUUGUGCUUAAACCUUUUAAAACAAAUUUUUUGUUGACUUUUUUUUUAAAAGAGGAAGAAAAAGGUUUUUAGCACGAGGCAGACAGAAUGGUCGCACUUGCGCUUAAACCUCUUAAAAUGAUUUAUGAUUUUUUAAAAGAAGAAGGAAAAGGUUUUUAGCACAAGGCAUACAGAAUGGUCGCACUUGUGCUUAAACCUUUUAAAACGAUUUUUUUGUUGAUUUUUUUUUAAGAGGAAGAAAAAGGUUUUUAGCACGAGGCAGACNCAGAAUGGUCGCACUUGUGCUUAAACCUUUUAAAACGAUUUUUUUGUUGAUUUUUUUUUAAGAGGAAGAAAAAGGUUUUUAGCACGAGGCAGACAAAAGCAAAAAAAAUAAAUGAGAGUACAAAUAAAAAUUAAAAAAUAAAAAAUAAAAAAAAAAUAAAAAAAAUAAUAAUAAAUAAAUAAAAAAACAAAAGCAAAAAACAAGAUAAAAAGUGAAAUAAGAAAACAAAAUAAAAAAAAACUGUGGAGGUGCUUAAAUAAAAAGGGGGUGUGUAAAACCUAAUUUAAUUCUAAUAGCAGAUUAGGCCUAAGCCCAAGUGAAAAGGGGUAUGAAUAUGAAAAUAGGGGGCUGCAAGGAGGAAAUUCGAAUGGGCUUAAGUCCAAGAAGGAUGGGAUGCGAUCCAGCAGAAUGAGGGGGUGCAGAAAAGGUUUUUGUUUUGGUUUGCUUGUUUUUAUAUUUUUUUUGUUGGUCCAGUGGCCCAUGCAGGAAAUAAAGGGGACUGCGAAGAUGAAAAAUGGGGGUACGAAUUAAAAGGGAGGUUUGGUCCUUAUUAUGAUUUUUUUUUUUAAAAAAGAAACGACCCAAGACCUAGGCUUAGGGUUUUGCCUACAAUCAGAAACAGGGGUCUGCCCCCUUCAUCCCAUUUGUGCUCAAUAUCUAAGAGACCAGAGUCUCUUCUUCUCUGAAAAGAAACGAAACACCAAGGCACUUAACCCCCGGCAACUGUGACGUCUUCGCCUCCCACCGAAAGCCACUGCGCCGCCCCAACAGCCUUGGCAUCGCCGGCGACCCCAAGCGCCACCAGAGCCGCCGCUGGCAGCGGCGCCAGAUCUUCUCUUUUGCUCCCCUUUCGUGUGCGAGAAGAGAAACCCUCUCGGUUCGAAAAUGGCGCCGGCCGCCGUGAGCCACGAGCAGGGCCGCCAUUGGUUGCAGCGUCAAAGUCCUCCUCUCAUUCUGAUUCUGCGGGAGCUCUCUCCCUCCUUGAACGCUGCCUGCAUCCGAUAGCCACCGCGUCGCCAAUCGUCGGAGAUGCCCCCUCACCGGUGCCACCAGUGCCGCUCUCUUCCCUCUCCGUUAGAGUUUUCCUUUCUUUUCCCUCAAACGCUAGGCGUGUGAGCGCGCCCAAUUCACCGAUAAGGGAAACCCAAAUUGUAACUCUUUAAAGCAAUGAAGGGAACAGGUUUGGAAAAAAACAGAAAAAAACAAAUUUCUCAUGUCCCUCUGAAGGGAGUAUCGAACUGGGUUGUCUUCAUGACUGAAGAAGGGUUUAUGGUUUGCUCAGUGUGUGCCCAUUGCUUAGGGAGUCACCUCCUUUGUUAGUAGGAAACAAGGAUUCCAUCAGCUGACUUAGAUUGUGGUUGUCGUAGUUGAUUCUGGGUGUUUGGGUCACUUCUUCUUUCUUGCAGAAAAAUGGCAUUGGGAUCUCGGUAAUAAAAGUCCAGGUUGAUGUCGACAACAGGGUUGUGUGUGAGGGAUUGCUGGUUUGGUCAGUUUGGUAUAUUUAGCACUUUCUGCAUCUGUUUGCUAUCUUUAGAAGGCAUUGAGUCUUGAUGCUGAGGGGUAGCACAUGCCUAUGUUCUAUUAUCAGCUUAAUGAAUUUUGUUAUAUUUUUUUUAUGAAACUGACUAACAAAGGAUAUCUCAAAGUGAACGAACACAACCAUAUACACGCAUUAUUUCAUUCAUAUUCCAGACAUGUAACAGGGACAUAUAACAGGAGCAUAUACCAGAGCAGCAAGCAUCCACAUACGACCAAGAGCUUGAAGAAGACAACUUACCUCUUCUCUGGCCGUGCCGUGUUCCUUCUUCCCAAGUGGUGAUGACCAAUGAUAGCAAUGAUGAAACGUUGAGAUGAAUGAUGGUUUUCAAAGGUCUCUCGUGGUGAUAGUCGAUGAUGGGGUGAGUCUCCAAAAUGUUUUCUGAUCGUGUCGUAUUGGGUCUCAAUAACGGUGCUCUUUUGUUGUGAUGGUGUUCGCUCUUUUGUUGUGAUGUUCUGAUAACCCCCCGAGUUACUAUGAUCUCGUGCUCUUUUUGUUCUCUUCUUCUGUUGCAAUGGUCAAAAUGAAUAAAUUUUUUUUUCAUCAUCAGUGCUUUUUCUUCUGCAGGUUAAGGUCCUUUUCCACAUUUCAUGCGUAUCUCUCAAGAUCUCGUUUUUGUCUUUUUUCUUUUUUCAUGUUUUACUCGUAUAAGUUGAACAAAAACCUUUAAAAUCUUCACUCUUUCCAUGUAUGUAUGCUACUCUGCUGCUUAAGAAUUUUUAGCAAAAAUACAGAGACCUUUUUCGCACUGCCCCCGUAUGAGCACACUCUAAGCAUUUCCUUUGUAUCGCCUGAACACUCCAACAGAUGGGAACAAGAACAGAGUUGACCUUGAAAUUUUAUUUUUUCCUUUCAUUUUUUUUUUACUUUUUUCAUUUUUUCAUUUUUUUUUUCAUUUUCUUUUGUAAAUAAUUAUAUAAAAAGAAUCCCUUGAACUUAAAAAAUAUAAAAGGAAACAACAAAAUAAAAUAUGAAAGUAUGAUACAUAAAAGUAAACCGAAAAAAGAGAGAAAAUAAAAAUAAAAAUAAGACAAAAAUGAAAUAGCAUAAAACGAAAAAUGGAAUGUAAUAAAAUAAAUUAAAAUAAAAUGAAAUAAGAUAAAAUAAAAUAAGAUAAGAUAAAAUAAAAUAAAAGAAAAGAAAGUAAAAUGAAAUAAAAUAAAAAAAUAAAAUAAAAUAAAACAAAAUCUAAUAAAAUAUAAAAUUGAGAAAAAAUAAAAAUAAAUAAAUAAAUAAAUAAAAACGAAACCAACUAGAAAACAGAGGAUAAAAUUAAAAUAAAAGAAAACAAAAAAAAAUCACCCCUUUUUUUUAGAGUUUAUAUGAAAAUUAUCUUUGUUCCCUUUUUUUAUUUUAUUACUUCUUAUUAACCUUAGAUAUUUUUUUAACUACCCGG
rnacentral:lncRNA from 1 species